CGUUGGUGUAGCAAUCGUUGCUAGCAUGGGUCUGCUUCUCCUGCGUGAUGACAGAAGCAAAAACUGGCGUCGGCCAAACAACUCAACCUGAGGCCAAGGCAAGAGGAAGUGUGGUUUCGGAACCGAAGAGCAAGGACGAAGUUGAAGCAAACAGAGGUGGACUGCGAGUUCCUGCAAAAGGAAGUGCAAGAGCUGAGAGCUCUGAAGCUGUCGCCUCAGUUCUACAUGCACGUGACUCCUCCCACCACGCUUACCAUGUGCCCUUCCUGCGAUCGCGUCUCCAACUCCACCGCGUCCACGACGACCACCAUCACCACAACCUCAACCUCGUCACCGUUUGCCAACGCACCGGCGCAGCCGAUGCCGGAACACCAUCAGGUCCUCCACCACCGCACGAUCCCGGGCCCAUGGGCGCCGAUCCCGCUCCGGCCAUUCCUCGAUGCUCCUCCGCAACGCUCGUAACUGAGCUGUCGUCAACCAUAUCACGCACACCACCAUCACCAUGACCAUGGGCUCUGGGUUCUUGCAAGAUAUGGGAUGCUACUGUUGCUGUCAGCACACGAUGAGUGCUGUUGUUUCGGAUAGCCUACCAAAUGGCAAGAAUGAUAAAGAUAUGGCUUGGUGGUGGAGUAGCACAGAAGGUGGUGGCGGCCGGAAUGAGAUGCAUUGUGAGCAACCAGGAGAAGUGGUACUUGGAUCACUUGGAUGUCCCAUGGCAGAAGUUCUACAUGAAUGAGCCCCUUACAAACAUCUCCACGCCUGAGCAGCAAAAAUUGGUCAUUGGUGGUGAGGUGUGCAUGUGGGGAGAAAGUAUCGAUGCCUCUGAUAUCGAGCAAACCAUCUGGCCUCGUGCUGCAGCUGCUGCAGGUAAUACUGGCGAAAACUAAGCAUUAAAAUCUCGGUUAGAUAUCAGUUUCCAUAACCUACCCAACCAAUAUAAGACCGGUAUAUAUAUAAUUGAAUAAAAUAGAAAAACAAAUUAAAAAGUAAUGGUAUUGUAUUGCUAUCGAACUAUAUGUUCCAAUAUCGGCAUUCGGUCAGACAGGAAACAUCAGUCCAUGCAUAUUCGCAUACAGAUCAAUUGAACAUUUCAAAAUGGUAAUAUCUUUAUUGGUCUGACACUAGAUGUGUGCAUUGACAAAUUCACAAACUCAGCAUGAGUCCACCAUCUUUUGUACAUCUGAACUUGCAUGUUUGUAGAACAAGUGAUAUCUUCUUGUGCAUCCAAAGUACUGUGGUAGUAUAGAAUAUCAAACUUGCCAAUACAAGAUUUAUGAUAUAGAGGUAAAUAAUUCUACUUAAUUUUUUCAUAUGAAAGAUUCAAGAAUAACCAACCUGCACCAAACCAGCCGAGUGCUACCUCUGCUGUCUCCUUACUUCGACAGAAUCAUAUUAUCAAGUUGUCUUCUUCAACAUGCAUGCUACUCAUAUCUGAAAAAUGUAUUGUGUAGUAUCAAAAGCAGAGAUAAAGAUCAAUACUUGUAUAAACUGUUUGUCAAAAUUCACGCCAUUGUUAAUUAAGUGUUUCUGAUCAUCUUUCGUGAAUCUACCGAAUUCUGCAAUCGAUUUGUUUUUUCCAAAGAGAGGUUGUGGACUCCUCUUGACAAACUAGCCAAGGACCCAAGGCAAGCCACAGGAAGAUUGGCUAGAUUCAGAUGUUUGCUCAACCAAAGUGGGGUUGCUGUUGCGCCGGUAGCAGGACCAGGCAGAACUGCUCCAUUGGGCCCUGGUUCUUGCUACAAGCAGUGAACAGCCAUUAAGAUCAUCGACAGCAGUGCUUGCAUGAUGCUAAGAGAGGAUCAGCCAUUGUUGCCGGCCUUUAUGGGGGGUAAAUUCGUAUUUAUAUGACAAUAGUUAAUCAGUUUCUGCUGAAAUCUUGCUGAUUAUUGUCAUUCAAGCAAACCCAAAAAAUAAAAUUUCUGCUGUGGAGCAAAUGUGACAUAAUAAUGUUUCUUUUUGUCGAUCGUUGACAUGUUUAAGAUUAACAAAUUAGUUUUCCUGA